CAAUGCCAAAACUGGACUGACUUGGUUGCCUCCGAUGUACUGACUUUAAUUCAGGCACCCAAACUUUCUCACACAGAUCUAGGGUCUUAGGCCUAACAAAACAGAAAUGCAGACUAACAUCUCCAUGGCAGCACAGGGAAAAGUGCAAAGAAUCAAGAAAAGGCCUAGACACUUAAGAAGUGGCUGUUAGUUCCCAUCUGGAUGGAUUAAUCAAUGCAAAGCCUGGCUUUACUGAACAAGUGAGAUUGAGAAGAACCUAUACUUUAAAUACAGGUAAAGUAAUUUAAUUUUAAAUGGGCCACUUCUGUUGUAGAGUUAAUUGAAAAUCCUGACCACAUCUCACCUUUGACUUGGGUUAGCAGUAAUCAAUCAGACGCAUCAUACACUUAGAAAAGGAAGAGGUAGAGAAUCUGCAACUCAGGCGUCUAGGAGGCGGUAAUGGCUCCUGCUGGCUGCUUCCGACACAGCUGCGCAUGCUCUGGCAGGCAUUUUGAAUCUGCGCCCUCAAGCUGGGCGGUUUCUUCGUGCUUGGCUCUAGAUGCUGGCAUGUCUGCGCAUAAAUUGUCAGUGUUAUCGCAGCUAUAAUAGGCCCUAGUGCUAACAUUAAGCCAGCAGAUGCAGUGCCUGCCUGGCCAAACACACUUCCUGGGCCCCCAAGCUCGUACAGCUGCAACCAGUGUGUGCCAUUCGCAGUGACAAUGUGUAAAUCUUCCUGCCUUACACGCAGCACUGUCACAGCAGACCCAAGAGGGAGAACUGAACUGAACAGAGGGAGAAGACUAGAAAGUUCUUCGGGAGAAAGAACCCUGUCCCUGCUAUGCCCCAUUCUGCAAUACCUUUCUCCUGGAUGGGGCAGUAUCACUCUUGCUGCAUGUCCUUCUUGUCUUAUUUGUACAUCACCUUCUUAGAUAGUCCCUGACCCCUCUAUUUAAAAUAAAAAACAACCAAGAAGCUUCUCUCUUCCCUGUAUUGUUUUGCUUUAUCAUAUUAGACACUAUUUAACAUAAUAUAU
rnacentral:lncRNA from 1 species